rnacentral:lncRNA from 1 species
GCCAUUCAAAACAAUCGAUUUCAAACACUUCAACAACCGAAACGAAGUCGAGAAUCACAAAACCAUUAUUUAAUUCCCGCCUGAACAUAUCGGUUCCCCACAUCUGCAUUCAUAUCUGCCGCAACAAACGCGGUUAAACAGCAUCUGUCUAGGCAUCGUGUUUCAAAAAUCAGGCAAGUUCAUGCAGAAUAAAGCUAUGGUAAUAUUUGCCUCUAAAGCAUAAACAGAAACUUGAAAACUACAGAUGCCGAUUCGAUUUGAUUUGUAUGCCAAGUGGCUUCCAGAUUUCUGUGAUCAUUAGCCCUAAGUACACCUAAUCUAAACCUUUAUUAUCAUUGCAGUAAGGCAAGCAAAAUAUUUUCAAUAACUUUGCCCAAGUUCAUGAUAUUGCAGGCGCAUAAACCUUGACAGUGGUUCCCCCAGACGUCAGAUGUAGCCGGAUGUAGCGCUAUAAAUAAAUUGGCAAAUGUGUAAAGUUGCGCCACUCCAACGGGCAGGGCAGCCAUAGAGGUGGAGGGGCCCGUUUUGAAUAUGUCUGUCAUGGUUAGAAGCAUCAGCACUGAGGCAAGCGAUACGAUACUGUUGUACGACCGAGAGCACCGUGAGUAGCAUUGCCAUGGACAUCGCACGUGUGGCAGGGCCGCUCGCCGAGAAGCACCAGCAACCGCACUGGCAAAAUUUCCCCAGUGACUGACGAACAAAUACAACAUUUUGUGUCAAAAUGCGGAGCAGGGGGCCAUAAGGACCACAAGCAGGCAGCCACCAAAACAGCAAUAACACAGAGCACACAUUCAAUUGCGGCAGCCGCAAUUCUCUCAAUAUGUGUGUGGGGUGUACGUACUCGUGUGUCGGGGAAUGCUGCUCUCUGACAAAAUAUUUUUGCAUAUAUUGGGAAACAAUAAAUUUUACAGUAAUGCGC